rnacentral:rRNA from 1 species
CCGACGGUGAGGGAUGAAAGCUGGGGGCACGAACCGGAUUAGAUACCCGGGUAGUCCCCACCGUAAACAAUGUUGCUAAGUGUUCAGUGCAUGGCGCGACCGUGUCUGGUGCCGCAGGGAAGCCCGUGAAGCGAGCCACCUGGGAAGGUACGGCCGCAAGGCUGAAACUUAAAGGAAUUGGCGGGGGAGCACAACAACGGGUGGAGCCUGCGGUUUAAUUGUGACUCAACGCCGUGACAACUCACCGGGGGCGACAGCAAUAUGUAGGCCAAGCUGAAGACUUUGCCUGAAUCGCUGAGAGGAGGUGCAUGGCCGUCGCCAGUUCGUACUGUGAAGCAUCCUGUUAAGUCAGGCAACGAGCGAGACCCGUGCCCACUGUUACCAGCAUGUCCUCCGGGACGAUGGGUACUCUGUGGGGACCGCCGAUGUUAAAUCGGAGGAAGGUGCGGGCCACGGUAGGUCAGUAUGCCCCGAAUCUCCCGGGCUACACGCGGGCUACAAUGGAUGGGACAAUGGGUCCCUCCCCUGAAAAGGGCUGGUAAUCUCACAAACCCAUUCGUAGUUCGGAUCGAGGGCUGUAACUCGCCCUCGUGAAGCUGGAAUCCGUAGUAAUCGCGUUUCAGUAUAGCGCGGUGAAUACGUCCCUGCUCCUUGCACUCACCGCCCGU